CUCCCCUCAGCAGGAUAUAUUUUGUGACUGGAACAAUACAAAGAUGAUUAGCUGGAUCCGGUGCAAGGAUGACAUACAAAAUAAUGAAACAUUCCGCAUUUUU